rnacentral:rRNA from 1 species
AUUGAACGCUGGCGGCAGGCUUAACACAUGCAAGUCGAACGAGUGGCGGACGGGUGAGUAAUGCUUGGGAAUCUAGCUUAUGGAGGGGGAUAACUAAGGGAAACGGUAGCUAAUACCGCGUACCAUGGGAUGAGCUCAAGUGGGAUUAGGUAGUGGGUGGGGUAAAGGCUCACCAGGCCGAAGAUCCCUAGCUGGUCUGAGAGGAUGACCAGCCACACUGGGCGUGGAAAACGUCCCAGAUCCCAACGGGGGGCGGCGGUGGGGAAUAUUGCGCAAGGGGGACAGCCGAACGCACCCAUGCCGCGUGAAUGAAGAAGUCCUUCGGUUUGUAAAGUUCUUUCGGUAGCGAGGCGUUAACUACAGAAGAAGCACCGGCUACCUCCGUGCCAGCCGCCGCGGUAAUU